GAAUAUCUUUUAUCAACAAUACGUUUUGUGAUAAAUCAAUCUCAUAGUAAAUAUGCAAACAUCCACUUGUUUUUACUCACAAGCAGAUUUUGAUGCACUCAUUUGGAAAAUUCAGCUAAAUGGCACAAGAUGUUUGCUUUUCAAAGAACAACUGAUCCAUAUCGUGUUUGUCUUAAUUAACACACAGACGAAGACCGUAGAAAGCAAUCAUUAUUUAGGAUGUUGUUUGCAGAUUUUAAGUUUCAGUUGCAUGAUGAAUUGCAGCUCCCUUUUCUACAGAAAUCUGACUUCAUUGUACAAUAUGUACAAUUCUCAUUGCUACUAUACUUAGUAUUAUCCGUACAUUUUCUUGUCUCAUGAGAGUUAGUUUGUAACCAUCUUGUCUAUGUAGUAUUUAUUGUUGGCUCUUUAGCACAGUAUAUUAAACAGGCAUGAAUUUUAUAACAUGGUUUUAAGUACAAAUAUUUGAUAAUUAUUGAGUCAGUAGGUUAUAAUAUAUUUCAUUAAAUUGAAAUAAGGGACAGGAUCAAAUAAGUGUUCACUUCUUCCUGCUCCUUUUCAAACAGAAAAGUAAUAGUAAACAAAUUAUUUUGUUCUGGCCAUAAAUUUCUUGUUAGAUUUUACUUGCUAUCAAAAGUCUCCGAUGUAAUUCACUACUAUUUGAAUAACUCUUGAGAGUAAAGCAAGAGGGAUUUAAAAUUUUAUAAAAUAUGAGACAAAAAUUAACUGCAAUGACAAUUUUGAGAUUUGACGUUUAGUACGUACUGCAGGUAAGAUAUUUAUUGUUCAUAAGUUAAAAAGAAAUUGGAACUCUAUUGUACAGUUUAUUAACAUCAGACGGGAAAUUCUAGCAAUUUUAUUUUGUGUUUUUUGCAAAAAGGGAAUUAGAUUACCGGUACUUAACAUUCAAGGUUAUGUUGAGAUGGUUUUCAUAAAACAAUCAUUUAACCCUGCCAUGUAAUUUCCAACAGUAUAGAUAGGUAAAAACAGGUUGAGACUUUAUUGGCCAGAUAUAAUUUUUAACCUCUUUCUUUGCAAUCUGCUUCAUAAUUUGUCUUAACAUAUUUUUUUAAUGUAGACAUUGAUACAAUUAUAUCGGAUCAAGGAACUGACAAAAGGAAAGGCUACUUAAUUUGCUGACAGCAGACUUAAUUUUGGUGAAGUUGUUAUUGUUCACUAAAUGUUUGAUUUUAGAACAAAACUUUCCAAUAGGAGUUGGAUGUUUUUGUACACUGGCGGUUUCAUGGCCUUUAAUAUCUUCACAGCCCCUCAGCCGGGCGUUAUUCCCCUUCUGUUGUGGUUAAACAGCAUUCACAUCACACAGCCCGUUCAGAACUCCCACUGCUCCACCGCUUGUUGUGCUUUUUUUCUUUUUCCAAUAAAAUGAUCAAUUUCCAAAACAGCUAAGCGCUGCAAGUCUGGUCACUGCUGGUAAAUGAAAGAAAAGUCAAUUAACUCUUAAAUGUCAAGAAUGUGUCACCAGUAUGUGGGCAACCUAUUUACAGGGUCCCCUCUGUGAAUAAGAGAAGUUCAACACAAAGUAAUAACUGUCACUGUGCUGUGGAGAAGCAAGGACUGACUGCAGCAGUGCUAUGUCAUCCCUGGUGUCAUACCGGUGAACAAACCUGAGCAGGCGAUCCCCCACCCACGCCUGCUGUGUGUUCUUCCUGAACGCUUACGACAUUCUGGCUGCAGAGUAUGGACAACAAAUCAUUUGUCAACAUUUUCAACACCACUCACAGUGGGCUGUGGGACAGCUUUCCUUCACAUCUACAGUUCUGCUGCAAGAAGUGAAAAAUGUGUUGCAGUGCAUGGUGAGAUGAAUCUGGGUCACUCUAACAUGAAACAAUCCCAUGGAAAUAAAGAGUAAAUAACAUCCAGAUGCCGCUGAUAAAAACAAUGAACUGAUUUUCAGUAAGUUUAACUUCAAAAUGUACAAACCCUACUAAAUAUUUUACAUUAAAUGAGACUCUGUUAUUGCACUACAGCUGUUCAUGGCAAUAUAAUCAAACUAAAAUGCUUGCUUAUUUAGGUGUGCAAUGGUAUACAAAAAUCUAUGCUACCGUAUAUUUUCAGCAUCACAAUCCGUCAAGAAAAAAACAAUAAAAUUUUGAUAUUUUUAAGCAGUAAUCUAUUUAACUGGUGAGUCUGUUUCCGUUUCUUACAUUAAUGUGAUUUUCUUAUGUUUUAAAACUGAAAAGUAAGGAACUGACUGGAGUUUUGGUUGGAUUUUUUUUUUAAUUAUGUAAAAUAAAGUAGUGUCAGCAUGCAUGACUGUAAGAGAGACCUCUCAGGUCUUCCGGUUCUGGUCUGCUCUGCAUCCCCAGAACCAGAACCAAACGAGGAGA